rnacentral:rRNA from 1 species
CCUACGGGAGGCAGCAGUGAGGAAUAUUGGUCAAUGGACGAGAGUCUGAACCAGCCAAGUAGCGUGAAGGAUGACUGCCCUAUGGGUUGUAAACUUCUUUUAUAAAGGAAUAAAACGAGGCACGUGUGCCUUUUUGCAUGUACUUUAUGAAUAAGGAUCGGCUAACUCCGUGCCAGCAGCCGCGGUAAUACGGAGGAUCCGAGCGUUAUCCGGAUUUAUUGGGUUUAAAGGGAGCGUAGAUGGGUUGUUAAGUCAGUUGUGAAAGGUUGCGGCUCAACCGUAAAAUUGCAAUUGAUACUGGCAGUCUUGAGUACAGGUGAGGUAGGCGGAAUUCGUGGUGUAGCGGUGAAAUGCUUAGAUAUCACGAAGAACCCCGAUUGCGAAGGCAGCUUACUAAACUGUGACUGACAUUGAUGCUCGAAAGUGUGGGUAUCAAACAGGAUUAGAUACCCGGGUAGUC